UACGUAGGGUGCGAGCGUUGUCCGGAAUUACUGGGCGUAAAGAGCUCGUAGGUGGCUUGUCGCGUUGUUCGUGAAAACCGGGGGCUUAACCCUCGGCGUGCGGGCGAUACGGGCAGACUUGAGUACUGCAGGGGAGACUGGAAUUCCUGGUGUAGCGGUGGAAUGCGCAGAUAUCAGGAGGAACACCGGUGGCGAAGGCGGGUCUCUGGGCAGUAACUGACGCUGAGGAGCGAAAGUGUGGGGAUCAAACAGG
rnacentral:rRNA from 1 species